UUAUUUGGCAUUGUCAACAUUUUAAUUUGAGUUUUCUUGUAUUUACUUAUUUUACUUUUAUUUUCCCCAUCAUUUUGGGUUUUUACCACCUUAUUCUUUUACCCCAAAUUUAUCUGCCCAAAGCUGAGCCUUCUCCUUCACACGCAAAACUCAGCUUUUCCUCUUUCCUUGUUCACGUCAGAGUUGGACAGAGAGAAAGGGAGCCUCGUUCAGCUCUUCCCCUCCACGUUUCCAUCAUGCAAAGGGCAACUCCUCCAAGAACAUCAUCUCAGACCUUCAAAAGAGAGAACCCAGGCCAUAAAUCGUCAUUCACCCUUCUCUCCUCACCUUUCCUCUCGUCCCUGGACACAUCAGUCCGUUUACGAGCCUCGAAACACCUAGUUCGAGAUCUCCGAUCAGAAAACGUUCUUCAUCAAAGUUGUUCGCCUAUAUCUCCUCUAUCUAGCCUCCAAAUUUCAGCUCCAUCGGAAUUGAUUUGAGACCUGUACACCCCUCGAAGCGGAAGCUGUUCCGGAGCAAGCCUGUUCCGGAUUUCUGCUUAAACUUCCUCUCUUGCUCUACCCGAAUCCCCAACACCUUGCUUGAGACUGAUACCAACAGUUGUCUCUGUUUCACUUUGCAUGUUCGAGAUUGAGCAAACUUCUUGGCCUGUGGCUGGACUCGAUCCAAUCAGCUCCUUCAGCUCUCUUUCCUGUUGAAAUCCUCAAGAGAAGCUCAUCUUUUUUUGUUAGUUUUUCGAUCUUGUGAAGUGGUGGUUGCUACAAGGUUGCAUUGAGGCCAAGUGCUGCAAGAGAAAGCUCGAGUUCCAGGUAGGGGAUGCCUUUAACUCUAUCUAUGCUUUUCUUGCAUAUACUAUGUUUUAUAUGAGGCCUCUUGCAUGUUUUGGAAAUUAUCUGUUUUUACAACUUGAAAUGGUUUGCGUGGAUUGGAUUGAUGUGUUGGCAAUUGAUGGGGAUGUAAGGAGAGGUCAGUUCCUCCUUGAGCCACCGGUGGUGGGCAGUGUGCACCAUGCCCUUGUUAUCUCCCCUUUUGUCUCUAGCCUUGUGAUUAAUGAAUUCCGGAAAGUGAUUGGCUAGAUGGACGGUUGUGAUGGAAGUGUGAAAGAUGAUCAAUUGCCGUGGGAUUGUAGUUACGUGGUAACGAUCACGUGGAAGCGCAAACCGGUUUUAUCUACUUCUUUUAUUCAAAACGAUAACUCAUGUUUUUAAACUUAGAUAUGGGGGCGGGCAUGGGCAAUGACUGGAUGUAGGAGCCUAACCCCUACUUUAGUUUGUUUUGCAGGCUGUUGUUGUCGAAGCUUGGGUACGGAGGAUAAUCCUUGGAGGCCAAAAUUUGUUUUGUUUAAAGUUUAUUUUAUUUGGCUUGUUUGAUUUCGUUAAAUUUUUGUAACGUUAUGUAUGGUUGAUGAUGUGUGUGAUUGCUUACCACCAAUGUGGAACCCUAGGGUUAGAACCUCCAUUUGAGUUUAGGUCCUAGUGGGCUAGACCUAGAAGACUCACGUAAAUUACCAUUCAAUGAACUUAAUGCAAAUUUGGGCUAAGAACUAAAAAUUGACAUAGGUUCUAAAACUCAACACAACACCACCUUCCUUUCCUCUUCCUCGCCUAGUUCGUAAUCUUGUGAUUACGAGCCAAGCCCACUAUACAAGCCCAAAAAUUUCGGGCUUAUAGAUUUCUUGUUUUCCAACCUAAAGGCCUUGUCUCUUUGAGGAAUUCUAGGCCCAAAACACUUACUCCAAGUGUUGCGGGUGUAGGGUUCCUUGGGGAGGCGGCGCUGUGGUAAUCCGGUCUCCGGGUCGCCACAGAGUUGAUUAAAACCCAGCAACAGUUGGUUGAGUUUGAGGGUACCUCACUUGAAGAUGUUAUAGUGCAUAUCCCUAUGCAAUUAGAUAUCUUGGCUAAGGAGCUCGGAACUAUGAAGGGUAAGACCAUUCGAGAUGUGGGUUAUGGUCUUAAAAAGGACAUAUUUUGUUCUUCAAUCCCUGCAUCCACGUCUAACCAAACAAAUGCUCAACUUAUGAGGUACAAUGUUCUAUUGGAAGAAAGACUUGCUUCUCUUGAGGGUGAGAAACAACCUCAACCUCCUACACAUGAUGUGGAUGAAGCCUUGUGAGGAGGGUGAUGAGGAUGAGGAUGAGGAUUUGGAUGUGCUUUUGGUGUUGGUAUCCUCAUUAGUUUUUUGCAAGUUAUAUUUUGGAUGUACAAAUGAAGCCAUGAUAUUUCCAAAUGUAUAUAUAUCCUAAAGUUUAGGGCUUUGGCAGGUUUUUGGGUCUUUGAUGUCCUUAUUAGCUUUUCGCAGGAUACAAUUUGGAUGUAAAA